GACGAACGCUGGCGGCGUGCCUAAUACAUGCAAGUGGGACGCAAGGAAACACACUGUGCUUGCACACCGUGUUUUCUUGAGUCGCGAACGGGUGAGUAACGCGUAGGUAACCUGCCUAUUAGCGGGGGAUAACUAUUGGAAACGAUAGCUAAUACCGCAUAAUAUUAAUUAUUGCAUGAUAAUUGAUUGAAAGAUGCAAGCGCAUCACUAGUAGAUGGACCUGCGUUGUAUUAGCUAGUUGGUAAGGCAAGAGCUUACCAAGGCGACGAUACAUAGCCGACCUGAGAGGGUGAUCGGCCACACUGGGACUGAGACACGGCCCAGACUCCUACGGGAGGCAGCAGUAGGGAAUCUUCGGCAAUGGACGAAAGUCUGACCGAGCAACGCCGCGUGAGUGAAGAAGGUUUUCGGAUCGUAAAGCUCUGUUGUAAGUCAAGAACGUGUGUGAGAGUGGAAAGU
rnacentral:rRNA from 1 species